AAAAGGGGUUAUCAUACUACCUGAUGUAUGGACUUAUACACCAGGCUUUUACCCUGCACGAGCUGGCCAACUUGAGGGGAACUGAAGUGGGCAAACCUCGCCCUGUCCUUGAACAAGAAAGCUGGAUUUGUUGAGAGAGUAUCAUUAAAGCUGAACUCCAGCAUGAAACCAGGGAGGUGAAGGCCAUCGCACAGGCCAUGUGCCGACUGUUCACUCCCCACCAGCUUGUGACUUGCUCCAUGAAGGGAGCAACAACUACAACGGGGUCACCAAGACCAAGCCUCCCCACUGCUGAGAGAAAUGCAAUCAUUGAUGUCAUAGCCAAAACCUUUGACAAGCCCCUGGUGGAUGUUGAAGAAAAGAUGAGAGGUUGUUUAAGGCGUCUGCGGCUGAUGCACAAGUAGACUGAAGUCUUUGUAAAUAAAAUGUGCUGUUAAAAUGAUUAUUUAACCAUUGUUUUCACUUUGUUAUAUAGAUUUGCACCUGUUGCAACAAAAUUAACUAAUUUUUGUGCUCCCGGUAGGGUCUCAUAUAGCAAUUAGCAGUUGAACUGUUCGUCUGUCUGUCUAUCCGUCCGAAAACUUUAGCAUUGGUCAUAACUUUUGCAAUAUUGAAGAAAGCAACGAAGAAAGUAUGGGGACAGGGAAACAUGCUGUUAAAAAUGCCUGAUUGUAUGCUGUGAUUUCGUUGAAUGUAGAUAUGUUAUUUAAUGUUAAUAAAUAUGUUUAUUUACAAAGUUUA